rnacentral:lncRNA from 1 species
GGCAUAUGGAUGUUCCCAGGCUAGGGGUCGAAUCUGAGCUAUAGCUGCUGGCCUCCGCCACAGCCACAGCAACGCAGGAUCCGAGCCGUGUCUGCGACCUACGCCACAGCUCACAGCAGUGCUGGAUCGUUAAACCCCUGAGUGAGGCCAGGGAUUGAACCUGCGUCCUCAGGGAUGCUAGUCAGAUUUGCUAACCACUGAGCCAUGAUGGGAACUCCCAUUUCCUCUUUAAAAUAGCCCCUGAGGAGUUCCCACAGUGGCACAACAGGAUUUGUGGCAUCUCUGGAGCACCGGGAUGCAGGUUCGAUCCCCGGCCCAACACAGCGGGUUAGUUAAAGAUCUGGCGUUGCCGCAGCUGUGGAGUAGGUUGCAACCCCAGGAUACCAGCUGAUUCCUCCGAAGAGGCCUGAGGCAGCUUCAGGCAUCCCUACCCACCGCUGGGCCCUCACAGAGAACUGCGGGCGUGCAAAGUGGUUCUGGAUGCGGAGAAGAAACCGACAGCUGCCAGGCCGCCUCUCCUGGACCAGAAUCUACCCUGAGAGCCGGGCUGGCAAGGGCCAGGAGCGUGCGUUCCGCAGCAGACCACCUGGGCCUACGCCUGGCUCUCUCACGGUUCUAACACGGUUUGAAACUCCAGCAUCAGCUACACUGCUUGCCAGACCUAGAGCAAAAUGCAAACGAGAGGCCCCUGCAUCAGAAUGAAGAAUUUCAAGACAGCAACAGCGAAUCAAACCCGGAACGGGUCCCUCUAAGCAAGGGCCCUGUGGGACUGCCAGGGAGCAGGUGCGCCUCAGUGUCCUUAUCUGUAAAAUGGGGAUCCUAACGGCACAUGCCUCACGGGGGGGCAGAAGGAAUAUGUGAGUCAACUUUGCAUGAAGCACCUACCCCCGUACUCAGCUCAAGACAUUACUAUCCUGUCUGCACAGAGCCCACACUUCACGUCAGACCGUCCCAAACAUACUGCUCAAAUCCCAUGAAAACACAUCCUGCUCGUUCUCUGUGGUAUGGCAAUAGUCAGAGAGACAAACCCAACUUUAUAAAUCCAGUUAACAGCAACAGAAAUGCUGCUGCUGCUGUGCCUUUAAAAUCAUGGGAUAUUUUUUCAGUGAAUAAAUAAUAAUGACUGAAAACUUGGGCUAACCCAAAAUCUCAGCAGUACCAGAUUUGUGGCUAAGUUAAAAAAAUAUGAAAACAACCUAAACGUCCAUCGACAGAUGAAUGGAUUGAGACGGUGUGGUACAGGAGUGCCUGCUGUGGCGCAAUGGUAACCAAACUGACUAGUAUGCAUGAGGGUAAAGGUUUGAUCCCUGGCCUCGCUCUGUGGGUUUAGGAUCGGGCGUUGCCAUGAGUUGUGGUGUAGGUCGCAGAUGCAGCUGGCGUUUCUGAGGCUGUGGUGUAGGCUGGCAUCUACAGCUCUGAUUUGACCUCUAGCCUGGGAACCUCCAUGUGCUGCAGGUGCAGGCCUUAAAAAAAAAAAAAGAAGAAGAAGAAGCUGUGGUACGUAUAUACAGUGGAAUAUUACUAAGCCAUAAAAACAACAAGAUAAUCCCUUUUGCAGCAACGUGGAGGCAACUAGAGAUUAUCCUACUAAGUAAGUCAGAAAGAGAAAGACAAAUCCCAUACGAUAUCACUUCUAUGUGGACUCUAAACUACGCCCCCAUUGCAGAACGGAAACGGACUCCCAGACAUAGAGACCAGACUUGUGGUUGCCAAGGGGGAGGGGAAGGGAGCGGGAUGGACGGGGAGUUUGGGGUUCAUAGAUGAGAACUCUUACAUUGAGCAUGGAUGAGCAAUGAGGUCCUGCUGUACAGCACAGGGAACCGUAUCCAGUCUCCUGGGAUGGAUCAUGAGGGAAGAGAAUAUAAGAAAGGGAGGUAUAUAUGGGUAUGACUGGGUCACUUUGCUGUACAGCCAAAAUGGGCACAACAUUGGAAAUCAACUAUAAUAAAAAAAAAAGAAGAAAAUUGUAAGCCCAUCAUGGUCUAUCAUGGCCGCAGAGAAGUAUAGAUGUGUCAUCUGAGGAAUGAAGCAAAGCAGGAGCUCAACGCUGUAAAUCAACUAUCAUUUAAAAAAAUGAUUAUAAAAAAGAAACACCGGAAAUAACUGGAAAUUUAAAACAGGGCCCUACAAAAUGAGAUGACAUGACAGUGAGAAAAAAGUUUCUUUCAUGUGCAAAUAUCUUUAGUCCCACAAUAUAUUUAGCUCAGCAUAAAUCUUUGAAAGAUCAGAUCCACGUAUAAGAUGAGUAAAGGGAUGACUCUGGAUCGUGUCAAUGAGGAACCUGGGAUAAGAUGGUUUUAACUAACCCACAGCUCGUCUAAUCAUUCCAUCCAAGUUCUUCCUGGUAUAAACGGAUAAGGAGCUGCUUUCUAUUAUUUUCACGGCUGCCCUUCUGUAUUAAAGGACCAAGCUGGGAAGUUCCCAUUGUGGUGCAACAGGAGCCACGGUGUCUCGGCAGCUGCAGGUCACAGGUUGGAUCUCCAGCUGGGCACAAGUGGGUUAAGGAUCCAGUGUUGCUGCAGCUAUGGUGUAGGUCGCAGCUGUGACUUGGAUCUGAUCCCUGGCCCGGGAGCUCCGUAUGCCACAGAGUGGUGAAAAAAGAAGAAGAAGAAGAAAAAAAAGGACCAAGCUGGAAAUAAGACUCAGAAUCUCUUAAUGGCUACUGCUUAUCUUCUCAAUCAAUUCAGAAUUUAAUUCAAUAAGGCGCUGGAAGAGAAGAAAAUGAUAGGACAGUUACAGAAAUUCUGGUUCUAUAAUGAGCAUGAAGCUCCUGCUUGACUAAGUAAGGAAGGGACUUGGUGGGCCAGCCAGCAGCCUUGGUCCAAAGCAGCCGUUACAGCGCUGUCUGAAUGGAAAUAAAAUCUGACCUUAUUCUAUGCACUCAACCAAAUAUAUCUGUAAAUACAACUCAAUCUUCUCACUUUGGCCCUGGUGGUUUAUUUAAAAAGCAGCCUUGGAGUUCCCAUCAUGGUGCAGCGGAAACGAAUCCGACUAGGAACCAUGAGGUUGCAGGUUCAAUCCCUGGCCUCGCUCAGUGGGUUAAGGAUCCCGAGUUGCUGUGGCUGCGGUGUAGGCCGGCAGCUGUAGCUCUGAUUGGACCCCUAGCCCGGGCACCUCCAUAUGCCGCAGGUGCGGCCCUAAAAAGACAAAAAAAAUAAAUAAAUAAAAAGCAGGCUCUUUAUUUCUACUUUUCUUUUGAACAGACCUUUGAUUAUUUGGGUUUGUUUUAUCCAGGCAAUACAUUCCCUGCUCAACUGCUGUCUGCACCCGCUUUCCCUCUUUCUUAGAAGAAUGAAGGACCAACAGCUUGGCUUUGCUCAGUGGAGUCCAUGGAGCGUACGUCCUUCCGCUCACGUCAGGCCAACAAGCUAACUGCUGACUAGACUCUAAGUCCCUGGAGCUACUGGCUCUAAAAGCCUUUCUAUCUGCUUUUACCCCCUUGUUUAAAGGCGAUGGAUGAGUAUUUAUGUUGACUCGAAGGCUUUUCUCUCUCACCACACAGAUACCUUAACAUAAGGGUCCUUCACGGUCACUGGCUAGAGGUUUGCAAGCCUAAUGCACCCAGUGAAUGAGGUCGAGGAUUUAUGCCGAGUGGGAAAUGGACUUUUUAAUUACCCACUUGUGAGACUGGAUAAGUGCACAGGCAGAGCAAAAAACAUCACCCCCUCUGUGGACCCGUGUCCUGCCUGCGGGAAGGAGCAUGGGCUCUUGAGCCACGAAGACCAGGCUUCUUGAAGAUGCUUUCUUUGAUUAUUUCAGCAUGUAGUGUUGUAUACAGCCUCAUGGCGGGGGUGGGGGUGGGGGGCAUCCCAGGAAAAAUCCUGAACGAAUUAAGCAGAUAUUUUCCAUGAGCUGUGUUCUAACACAUCAAAUAUAGCUAGCGGAAAAUUAUUUCUGCCGUUCAUUCUUAUAGUCUGAAAAAGCUAAGCCAUAUUGAUACUGUGACCUAGCUGAUUCGAGCAUUACGAAGGACGGGUAAUGAACACAUAAACUGGGUCUUUCUUUCUUCCUUUAAUUUUCUUCUUUUUUAGGGCAGCACUUGCAGCCUAUGGACGUUCCCAGGCGAGGGGUUGAGUUGGAGCCGCAGAGGCCGGCCUAUACCACAGCCACAGCCAGGUGAGCGACACAGCAGCGCACGGUAAUGCCGGAUCCUUAACCCACUGAGCGAGGCCAGGGAUCGAACCUACAUCCCCAUGGAUACUAGUCAGGUUCUUAACCUGCUGAGCCACAACGGGAAUUCCUACACUGCUUCUUUAAAUCAACCUUUAAUUGUCAGACAUAAUCAAAGGGGAAGGACAGAGUCAAGUUCAGCAUCGGAGGACAGAUCUCAGGGUAAGACUUGUUCCCCUCAUUCUCCCGCUCACCGGACCCCAAACUGGCAGUUGAGUCUUGGGAAGGCAAACAGCUCAAAUCUCUUAUGCCCUCCGGGUACUGAAGUAUUGCAUAUACCCAGUGUCUUAAAAGAAUCUGAUCGUGAGUGAGUAAAUCUAUUGAAAUUGCACUAUUUAAAAAUUAAAAAAUAUAUCACUGAUUUACAAUGUUGUGCCUAAACUGCACUAUUUUUAUCCCAAUAUCAACAUGGUCUCUAUUCGAUGGCUUUGGUCAACAGGCUUUCCAGCUCUAUGUGGUGUUUGUUGUUUACUGUAUUAGACCCAGGAAUUUGGGGCUUUAUAAUUUGUGCAAAAAAUUUAACUUUAUAAAUGAGUUAAUGCUGUGAAACCAUGACAUUCUAUGAACAGGAGGCUUUUUAAAAUGACAUUCUCCUGACAACCAAACUAUGCAAAUUGAAGACAGAGGCCUGAUUAUAAUAUGAAGUGAAAAGCUAAGUGGCUAAAUAUUCUAUUCCAUCAUCUACAUUUCCGAUAUGUCUGUUUCUAUAUCCGUGGAUAAAGCAACAACAAAGGCCAAGUAAAGAACGUUACACAACAAUUUAACUUCUGUCUCCAAGUGGUGGAACUCCGGGAAGUUUUCAUUUUCUUUUUUGCUUCUCUAUAUAAUUAGAGGAAUAAUAUUAAAAAAAAAUGUCCAGGAAUGCCUGCUGUGGCACAGUGGUUAACGAAUCCGACUAGGAACCAUGGGGUUGCGGGUUCGAUCCCUGGCCUUGCUCAGGAGGUUAAGGAUCUGGCGUUGCCGUGAGCUGUGGUGUAGGUCGCAGACCCGGCUCAGAUCCCGAGUUGCUGUGGCUCUGGCUCAAGAUGAGCAGAUGACCUUCUUACUCAGGACUCAAGAUACCAUCGGUUUCGGGUUCCAUGCUAAGCCUCAAAAACAGUGGAAAAAAAUGUCAUAGCACGCACCCCCUUGAAAACAGGUUGACUCCAGCCCGGCUGCAGAAUUUCGGCAUCAUUCAUUAAGAGGCAGGCACUCCAUUCUCAGGCAGAUGCCAGGGAGGCUUGUGCUAAACUUUCCCACCAUGCCAACAGCUCAUGUCCACGGAGUCAUUACGGCCCCACCAUUACUACUGGUGUUAUGGUUUGGGUCACUUGUACCAAUGGUCCUUCGCUGGCUAAAGUUAAUGCUUUUCUAAGUGCUCUGAGUUAGGGGCAAUCCUAGUCCUGAGCUUAAGGAAUUCCAUCUAAAUGCAAAUCAAGACAAGCCCAUCUGGAAUGGACGAUUAGGUAGAAUCAUUUUUCCACCCUUGAAUGUUCAGCCCCUAAAAACGCAUUUGCCUGUAACUGUGCCGGUCAAGUGCCCCUUAACAGAAUUAGACUGUGUUUCCUU